UUUCCGUAGGUGAACCUGCGGAAGGAUCAUUCAUAAUAAAGUGUUUUAUGGCACUCUUUAAAAAUCCAUAUUCACCUUGUGUGCAAUGUUAGAUCUCGUCAAUCUCGGCGUGAUUUUCACACAUCAACUCAUUCUUUAACUAAUUUGUCUGAAAAAUAUUAUGAUCACUUAAUUCAAAAUACAACUCUCAACAACGGAUCUCUUGGCUCUC
rnacentral:misc_RNA from 1 species